rnacentral:lncRNA from 1 species
AGUAGAUGAAACCCCCCAUCCAGCGGCGGAAGUGACGUCAGCAUUAUACGUCAGCAUUUUUUAGGGAUAAGAGUGACGUCAUUUUUGGAACAUUGUCGCGUAACAUUUGUCGCGUGAUCUUUUGAGAUGACGUCAGCAACUAUUUGUCGCAUAACGUUUAUUGUAAAAAAUAUGAUUUUUCAGAUGGCGUCAGCAACUAUUUGUCGCGAAAGAUUUGUCGCAUAACGUUUAUUGUAAAAAAAAAAAAUAUGAUCCUUGUAUUAAGCGCUACAAUACCAGUUCGAACCGGAUUUAAUAUACUGUAUAAAUUGAGGUCUUCGAAUUUACAAGAGCGUAGUGUUUACACAGCUUUCGCAGAGAGAACUUUGAAAGAUUUGCUUUGAUAUAUUGUUCACACAGAAAACUUUACUGACGUUUCGCGAGUGGUUUUUUCUAAUAUAAAGACUUGCUGCUUUCAACUUUUAAAGGUAUGGUGUUUAACAAACUAUAUAGGUAAACUUUUUGUGUGUGAACUUAGGCAAAGCAUUUUUGUUUUAUAGUUUUUACCGAUAGAACUUUGCUGGAUAUUUGACGUUUCGCAAUUUUUGUUUAUAGUUAUUCACAGAUAUUAACUGGUCAGAACUUUGCAGACGAGGUGUUCCUUUUCAACGUUAAAAGGUAUUUAGGCAAAACAGUUUUGUUUACAGCUUUCAUAAAUAAAGCGUUUCGCGAGAAGUUUUACUUUAAAAGAGUCGAUUUAUCAUGAAGUUAUUGCAAGCGGUUGCCAUAGCAACUUAGAUUUUAGAUGAUUUUUUGAAAACAAUACGGGACGAUUUAUACCUUUUUAUUAUAAAAGUCUCGGUUCUUGAUACAGAGUUCUAUAGUUUGUUAAAAGUAUUAAGUUCCUUCAUGGCUUGUUGUAUGUCAUAGAAAGGAAAUAAACAAGAGUAUUUUUAUUUAGACAUGGAUAUGUUAUUGCAAGCGGUUGCCAUAGCAACUUAGAUUUUAGAUGAUUUUUUGAAAACAAUACGGGACGAUUUAUACCUUUUUAUUAUAAAAGUUUCGGUUCUUGAUACAGAGUUCUAUAGUUUGUUAAAAGUAUUAAGUUCCUUCAUGGCUUGUUGUAUGUCAUAGAAAGGAAAUAAACAAAAGUAUUUUUAUUUAGACAUGGAUUUGGCAG